UCGAGGCUCGGUCGUAGGGACAUAUUUGGCGGUUGUCGAGUAAUGUAGUCGAGGCUCGUACCAAAGAUGUUAAUAUUUACAAGGUUGAUAUAUCGAUAAAUCUCUCUGUUUUACCUUUUAGUAUGUACUUUCGAGAGUGACAGGAGUCCCCGUGGUUCGCGAAGAAGACUCAGGCGAACAUGAUCAGGGACGCGGAAUUUGAAACCAGUUGCGUGUCGAUCGUAGAAAAAAAGGACCAGCUUAAAAUCCCUGUCGAAGGUAGUAAGUUCACAGCACUUAGCCACGGUGUGGUUGUCUAACCGGUACUCCGGUACUGUACGUUCGAAACGAUACAGACAGGAUUGGCGAGCGAAGAGCAGGGCACGCGAGUGCUGCCUCUGUCUUCGGCUGAUGCUCGCUCCUCGCUACUCGCUGCUACACGGCCACAGGAACCACGUUGGUGCCCCCUCCUUUUCUCAGUUUUUUCUUCCUUACUACGUUGCCUCUCACAAUGAUCCGUUACUCCUUCCGCUUGUGUCUGCUAACCUUAUCCGAUCGCCCGUUCGUUCGUUCCUUCGUUCCUUCGUUCGAAUGAUACCGAGAUUUAUCCAAUUAAUAUAAAAUAGCCGAGUCCCUUCAAAUAACAAUUUUAGUUUUCCUUGUUACACGAUAUUUCACAUUUACACGAUCAAAACAUUUUCAAGUAAAGAUAUCGAGGAUUGUUCUGUAGUUAAAAAGUUACGUAAAAGAUUUUUUAUCGUGUUUUUUAUCCAUUAUUUUGACCUCACAAUCCCAACCUAACCUUGUGCAUAAUAACGUAAACGUGGUUAUAGCUAGACCGCGAAUGUUUAUGCAAAUUUAUAGUUUCGCUGCCACACAAGUAUACGCUUUAAAUAUAUCGUAGAUUAUCGUGGAAUUUGAUAAAUGUUAUUAUCCCUCUAGACACCAGAAUUCAUCGGAUUUAAAAGAUAUCUGCAUAUAGUAACACAGUUGGUAUAUACCUUUCACACUUUUGUGUUUCGUAGGAUAUAUCAUCUAGGCGAUUAAAUUUUCAUAAUUAGCUAUGGAUUACAGUGAAUCCAUAAUGAAUGAAGUAAAUAGUGUUCCGCGGUUCUACCUACCGUUACUCUUCUUUUCGCUGGAUUUUCCUCUGUUUCUUCUGCGUAUUUUCCAUAACUGUAUUCAUGCAAAAUAAAAUGCUAAUAAUAAAUGAUAAUAAGAUACGCGUAAAAUAUAGAGUGAAUUACUUUAAACGUCUGUCGAUUGGACUAUACGAUUUAAUAUCCAGCUUUUCCCAUAAUUCAAAUAUGUAUGGUCAAAUAGAGAGGCGAUUUUGUACGAAAAUGUAAAUGAAAAGCAUAGAAUUCUGACGAAGUUUUAUUUUCGAUCAAAAAUUUACUUUAAAUAUUUGCAUAACACGUUUAUAUUUAUUGUAAUGGAUACCGAAAAGUAUAGUAUUAAGUGACGAUAACGAUAAAUUGUAUUAUUUUGUAAUAAAGGUAGAAUCGCCCAAUUGUACUAUCACUGAUAAAACAUCCUGUAUAUUCUACUAUACAAUGGAAAAAGAAUCAAAGGCCAACAGCUUCAGUUUUAGA